UGCAGCUCAAAAGUUGGAUUAAUAGCAUCCAUCUUUUCAAAAGUGUGUAGUAUCUUAUGAGCUAAAUUAUCUUAGAGUGUAUUUGGCAAAUAAAGAUAUUGCUGAACCUCU
rnacentral:rRNA from 1 species